UACGAAGGGGACUAGCGUUGUUCGGAAUCACUGGGCGUAAAGGGCGCGUAGGCGGCUUUGUAAGUCGGGGGUGAAAGCCUGUGGCUCAACCACAGAAUUGCCUUCGAUACUGCAUGGCUUGAGACCGGAAGAGGUAAGUGGAACUGCGAGUGUAGAGGUGAAAUUCGUAGAUAUUCGCAAGAACACCAGUGGCGAAGGCGGCUUACUGGUCCGGUUCUGACGCUGAGGCGCGAAAGCGUGGGGAGCAAACAGG
rnacentral:rRNA from 1 species